rnacentral:rRNA from 1 species
CUUAACCUACGGGGGGCAGCAGUGGGGAAUAUUGCACAAUGGGGGAAACCCUGAUGCAGCGACGCCGCGCGAGUGAAGAAGCGCCUCGGCGCGUAAAGCUCUGUCAGCAGGAACGAUAAUGACGGUACCUGAAGAAGAAGCCCCGGCUAACUACGUGCCAGCAGCCGCGGUAAUACGUAGGGGGCAAGCGUUAUCCGGAUUUACUGGGUGUAAAGGGAGCGUAGACGGCGUGGCAAGUCUGGAGUG